UGAAGAGCUACAUGAAAGCUGGUUUUGUCUGUUUAUGUGUUUAAUAGCAUUACAAUAAAGCACUGUGCCUGUUCUAUUAAAAGGAAGAGAAGCAAAGAAAAAAUGUGAAGAUGGUUGAGCUUCUGUUGACCAGUAAGGUGGAUGUAAAUGCAGUAGACUAUAAAGGAAACAUAGGGCUGCACUAUGCUUGCCAAAGAAAAAGUCGGAGAAUUGUUCCAUUGUUGUUGUUGAAAAAUGCAGAUGUUUCAAUACAGAACAAAAAUCAUGAAACACCACUAGAUAUUGCUAAGAGGCUGAAAUUCCACAAAAUCGUGGAAAUGUUAACAAAAUCAACGUGAAAGUAUAUAAGGACAUUAAAGGACGAAAGUGCGUUAUGUGCACCUACAGUUGGAUCCUUUUCUAAUUUGUUGGCUUUGCACCAGUUUUCACAAGAAACUUUUGAUACAAACAUUCUAUUACACUUCCUGUUAUAAUAAUACAUUUCUCAUAUGAAAGAUGUUGCCAUACUGAUUUCUGUUUAAACAAGUGAAUAUAAUCAACUGAGUUUUGUUAAAAGCAAUGAAUAAAUGUUUAUUAUGUGUACAA